GGGCCCGCACAAGCGGUGGAGCAUGUGGUUUAAUUCGAUGCAACGCGAAGAACCUUACCUGGUCUUGACAUCCACGGAAGUUUUCAGAGAUGAGAAUGUGCCUUCGGGAACCGUGAGACAGGUGCUGCAUGGCUGUCGUCAGCUCGUGUUGUGAAAUGUUGGGUUAAGUCCCGCAACGAGCGCAACCCUUAUCCUUUGUUGCCAGCGGUCCGGCCGGGAACUC
rnacentral:rRNA from 1 species